UAUUGGGCGUAAAGCGCGCGCAGGCGGUUUCUUAAGUCUGAUGUGAAAGCCCCCGGCUCAACCGGGGAGGGUCAUUGGAAACUGGGAAACUUGAGUGCAGAAGAGGAAAGUGGAAUUCCAAGUGUAGCGGUGAAAUGCGUAGAGAUUUGGAGGAACACCAGUGGCGAAGGCGACUUUCUGGUCUGUAACUGACGCUGAGGCGCGAAAGCGUGGGGAGCAAACAGGAUUAGAUACCCUGGUAGUCCACGCUGUAAACGAUGAGUGCUAAGUGUUAGAGGGUUUCCGCCCUUUAGUGCUGAAGUUAACGCAUUAAGCACUCCGCCUGGGGAGUACGGUCGCAAGACUGAAACUCAAAGGAAUUGACGGGGGCCCGCACAAGUGGUGGAGCAUGUGGUUUAAUUCGAAGCAACGCGAAGAACCUUACCAGGUCUUGACAUCCUCUGACAACCCUAGAGAUAGGGCUUUCCCUUCGGGGACAGAGUGACAGGUGGUGCAUGGUUGUCGUCAGCUCGUGUCGUGAGAUGUUGGGUUAAGUCCCGCAACGAGCGCAACCCUUGAUCUUAGUUGCCAGCAUUUAGUUGGGCACUCUAAGGUGACUGCCGGUGACAAACCGGAGGAAGGUGGGGAUGACGUCAAAUCAUCAUGCCCCUUAUGACCUGGGCUACACACGUGCUACAAUGGAUAGUACAAAGGGUUGCAAGACCGCGAGGUGGAGCUAAUCCCAUAAAACUAUUCUCAGUUCGGAUUGUAGGCUGCAACUCGCCUACAUGAAGCCGGAAUCACUAGUAAUCGCGGAUCAG
rnacentral:rRNA from 1 species